rnacentral:rRNA from 1 species
AAUAGAUACCCGGGUAGUCCACGCCGUAAACGAUGAGUGCUAGGUGUUGGGGGGUUCCACCCUCAGUGCUGAAGUUAACACAUUAAGCACUCCGCCUGGGGAGUACGACCGCAAGGUUGAAACUCAAAGGAAUUGACGGGGGGCCCGCACAAGCAGUGGAGCAUGUGGUUUAAUUCGAAGCAACGCGAAGAACCUUACCAGGUCUUGACAUCCUUUGACCACUCUAGAGAUAGAGCUUUCCCCUUCGGGGGACAAAGUGACAGGUGGUGCAUGGUUGUCGUCAGCUCGUGUCGUGAGAUGUUGGGUUAAGUCCCGCAACGAGCGCAACCCUUGACCUUAGUUGCCAGCAUUCAGUUGGGCACUCUAAGGUGACUGCCGGUGACAAACCGGAGGAAGGUGGGGAUGACGUCAAAUCAUCAUGCCCCUUAUGACCUGGGCUACACACGUGCUACAAUGGAUGAUACAAAGGGUUGCGAAGCCGCGAGGCCAAGGCCAAUCCCAAAAAGUCAUUCUCAGUUCGGAUUGUAGG